rnacentral:rRNA from 1 species
CUGGAGGUAUCAGAAGUGCGAAUGCUGACAUAAGUAACGAUAAAGCGGGUGAAAAGCCCGCUCGCCGGAAGACCAAGGGUUCCUGUCCAACGUUAAUCGGGGCAGGGUGAGUCGACCCCUAAGGCGAGGCCGAAAGGCGUAGUCGAUGGGAAACGGGUUAAUAUUCCCGUACUUGGUGUUACUGCGAAGGGGGGACGGAGAAGGCUAUGUUGGCCGGGCGACGGUUGUCCCGGUUUAAGCGUGUAGGUGUGUGUUCCAGGUAAAUCCGGUUCACUUUAACACUGAGGCGUGACGACGAGGCACUACGGUGCUGAAGCAACAAAUGCCCUGCUUCCAGGAAAAGCCUCUAAGCAUCAGGUAACAUCAAAUCGUACCCCAAACCGACACAGGUGGUCAGGUAGAGAAUACCAAGGCGCUUGAGAGAACUCGGGUGAAGGAACUAGGCAAAAUGGUGCCGUAACUUCGGGAGAAGGCACGCUGACACGUAGGUGAAGUGAUUUACUCAUGGAGCUGAAGUCAGUCGAAGAUACCAGCUGGCUGCAACUGUUUAUUAAAAACACAGCACUGUGCAAACACGAAAGUGGACGUAUACGGUGUGACGCCUGCCCGGUGCCGGAAGGUUAAUUGAUGGGGUCAGCGCAAGCGAAGCUCCUGAACGAAGCCCCGGUAAACGGCGGCCGUAACUAUAACGGUCCUAAGGUAGCGAAAUUCCUUGUCGGGUAAGUUCCGACCUGCACGAAUGGCGUAAUGAUGGCCAGGCUGUCUCCACCCGAGACUCAGUGAAAUUGAACUCGCUGUGAAGAUGCAGUGUACCCGCGGCAAGACGGAAAGACCCCGUGAACCUUUACUAUAGCUUGACACUGAACAUUGAGCCUUGAUGUGUAGGAUAGGUGGGAGGCUUUGAAGUGUGGACGCCAGUCUGCAUGGAGCCGACCUUGAAAUACCACCCUUUAAUGUUUGAUGUUCUAACGUGGACCCGUAAUCCGGGUUGCGGACAGUGUCUGGUGGGUAGUUUGACUGGGGCGGUCUCCUCCUAAAGAGUAACGGAGGAGCACGAAGGUUGGCUAAUCCUGGUCGGACAUCAGGAGGUUAGUGCAAUGGCAUAAGCCAGCUUGACUGCGAGCGUGACGGCGCGAGCAGGUGCGAAAGCAGGUCAUAGUGAUCCGGUGGUUCUGAAUGGAAGGGCCAUCGCUCAACGGAUAAAAGGUACUCCGGGGAUAACAGGCUGAUACCGCCCAAGAGUUCAUAUCGACGGCGGUGUUUGGCACCUCGAUGUCGGCUCAUCACAUCCUGGGGCUGAAGUAGGUCCCAAGGGUAUGGCUGUUCGCCAUUUAAAGUGGUACGCGAGCUGGGUUUAGAACGUCGUGAGACAGUUCGGUCCCUAUCUGCCGUGGGCGCUGGAGAACUGAGGGGGGCUGCUCCUAGUACGAGAGGACCGGAGUGGACGCAUCACUGGUGUUCGGGUUGUCAUGCCAAUGGCACUGCCCGGUAGCUAAAUGCGGAAGAGAUAAGUGCUGAAAGCAUCUAAGCACGAAACUUGCCCCGAGAUGAGUUCUCCCUGAGACUUAGAGUCUCCUGAAGGAACGUUGAAGACGACGACGUUGAUAGGCCGGGUGUGUAAGCGCAGCGAUGCGUUGAGCUAACCGGUACUAAUGAACCGUGAGGCUUAACCUUACA